CUCGUAGUUAGGGUUUUCUUUUCUUUUGCUUUGUUCUUGAGAGAAAAUGGUGGAGAACCAAGCCACCCUUCACUUAAUAAAUCAGAAGAAGAGAGUCAAACACCACCUUUCCGUUCAGAUCACGAGUCAUGCAAAUUUACAUCGGAUCGGUGAUUUACCAGAAAAUGUAGGCCUCUCUGUCUCACAAUCUCGAAACUCUCACUCUCCUUCUCUCUCUCGCUCUACCUCUCUUGAUACUUCAUCUUAAUUAUUUGCUUAAUUUAUUCAGAAUUAUAAGAAUAUGUUAUAUCAAUUUAUUUCGCUGAUCUCUGCACAUCCAUAAUCAAAUUGAGAUGCCGUUUUUAUAUUUAAUUUGAGGAGACUACUAUGUUAAUUCGAUGACUAAAAAUUGUGUUUGUUAUAAUCUAAAUUCAAUUGUGUGUAUUUUAGGACCUCCAAGCAAACUUUGUGUGGAGCUCUGGCAUCCAGCAUUUGGCUUCCAGCUUAACCUGUUGUGUUUCCACAGUACAUAAUUGGCAGCGAUAGGUAGGACUUGGCUCUGCUAUGGUCGGUUCAUUUCCCUUCCUUGGAAGGUGGCAUCAGAGGCCAAAUGCUUAAUAUGGCAUAGACUGGAUUAUGUUGUUUCUGGGAUUACGCGCCUGUCAAACUGCUCUUCUGCGAUCUGUUGUUAUACAUCAUAUGGUGUAAUUUUUCUCACCUACCCCCGUGUAAAUUAGCUGGUAGAGAAUUAUGGACGUAAAUUGUCUGACCUAUACCCCCAGUUUAAGGAGGCCUAGGGUAUCGAAUCAAUGCAGGCUCUACUCUCCUCGUAGAGAAGUAUGGACGUUCUUCAAAGCUAGUUGGG
rnacentral:lncRNA from 1 species